GACGAACGCUGGCGGCGUGGAUUAGGCAUGCAAGUCGAACGGUAUCAUCCUUUCGGGGGUGAGAGAGUGGCGAACUGGUGAGUAACACGUAGGUUAUCUACCCUCAAGACGGGGACAACCCAGGGAAACUUGGGCUAAUACCGGAUGUGAGCAACUUUUAGUUGUUUGAAAGGUGGCGUAAGCUGUCGCUUGGGGAUGAGCCUGCGUCCUAUUAGUUAGUUGGUGAGGUAACGGCUCACCUAGGCAAUGAUAGGUAGGCGGCCUUAACGGGUGGUCGCCCACACUGGGAUUGAGAUACGGCCCAGACUCCUACGGGAGGCAGCAGUCGAGAAUAGUCUACAAUGGUCGGAAGACUGAUAGUGCGACGCCGCGUGAACGAUGAAUCCCUUCGGGGUUAAAGUUCUUUUAUAUGUGAGCAGUGCUUCUUAUAUUAACAGUUAUGGGGAGAGAGAUAUUAGCAUAUGAAUAAGCAACGGCUAACUCCGUGCCAGCAGCCGCGGUAA
rnacentral:rRNA from 1 species